UUCAAUAGCAAGCAUAGCCAGUUGUGUUUUGUUCUCCUCCUUUGAGGAUAUGACUUUUAAGGUGAUUUAAUUAAGAUGUAACAGUUUAUAGUCUGACACCUAAAUAUGGGAAAAUGCUUGAGGACCACUAAAUCUCUUGAGCCCUUAGUAAACUAAUAGCAAUUCUUGGAUCUCUGCUCUGAUUCCUAAAGGCUGCAGUCCACUUUUUUAGAGAUUUCUUCUCCCUCCUCCCUUCCACUGCUGGUCCUUGGUCUUUCAAACAAUUACCAUCGUUGACUCCUCCCAUAGGCAGGAUUCUCCUAAUGGAAGAGUAAAGCUAGAAUGGAUCUUGAACGAUCUAAUCUUAAAGAUUUGAGGAAGUGCUGGUGGUUGUGAACAAGUGCUCUGAAACUAACUGACCUGUGGAUUGCCUCUGUAGCUCAAUAGCACUACCGCUAUGGCCUUGACCCCACCAAGGAAAUGAUUGAGACAUAGAUUAAUUUAUAAUUGAGAAAAUGUAACAAUCAGAGUCGAUCAUUCUCUCUGAUGAUCUCACCUUUACUCCUUCCUUCCUCUGCACAUCUAGGAAGUUGUGACCCUUCCCUCUUGAGCCAGGCUGAGCAUUGAUGAUUAUUCAUGAAAUCAUCUGUAGUUGGUGUUGGGCACAUUGUGUGCCUCAAAGGUGAUUGGUGUUGAUAAACUGAGGUCCAAGAGUGAGUGAUUUUGCCGGUGGCUACACAGCUCUCAGUUGGCAGAGCUGUGAUUUAACCUGGGUUCCCUUCUUUUUCCCCUGAAACGCACUACCUAGAAAUUCUAGAUGGUGGCAUGGAGACAUAGUUUAAAGAUAAUGGUUCACUAUUUCAGAAAAAUAAUCUCUUGCCUCUUUUGACUGAAAAAGAACAUGGUUUCUAAAGCAAUGUGCUCAUGUGUUCAAGCCGGGAUGAGAACAGAAACAUUUUCUAGACAAAGACCUUAACAACCUAACACCUGUGUGUGGCAGGCAUCUCGAAUAUUAAUGGUUCAUCACAGCCUAUGCCAGUCUUGCUUCGUAAAAUGAAGAGCUGACCCCAAACCAUUUGGACAUUCAAAGCCAUGGCAGUUGUGUGCCAAGUAGAACUUACUGACUGCAGGACCCGCUUUCAAGUACUUAAGAGAUGACGACAUGCUCUGCUUCGUAUUGCUUGUGCUGAUGAAAAGCAGCAGGUGCUUUAGCAAAGAUGAUAGAAAUAUAGGCUGCCCAUUACCAAUGAAGGGGCCAAAGUUUGCUGUUAAGAUAGCUAGGCCACAGGUCAUCCAGAGGCUGCAGAACAGCUUCACAUAUGCCUGGGAGAUCCCGUGCCAGUAAUUAGGAGUUGCCUGUAGAUGUAGCAUAGUUUUCAUUUUUGAGUCAGACUGUUUUUCUUUUCAGUCUGUGAGCACAAGGUUACCCUACCCCAAAUUCUUCUCUGUUGAGAAAGAAACAAACCAUGUAAAAAUGUCCAAACCUACACACCUCCUUUUGGUAAAUAAGGAAUUACUGUUUGAUGGAAAACUAAAAGGGGCUGGAUUCAUGGAUCCAGAAAAAAAUCCUCAACCCUCCUCUGCUUCCCCCUCCCCAUGUAAUCCUGGAGGAAAGGCAGCCUGAAGAGUGUUAAUGGUAGGCUAAGCUGUGCACCCCCGGGAUGUACCAAACUGAUGUCUUUAAUUAAGAAAGUUGUUUGGGUAAGCUUUAAUGACCAGGUUCCUGCCAAGCCUGCAAAAACCACUUAUCACUAGCAUUAGGAGGAUCAAACCAUUGCCGCAUUCGACCAAAAGCCCUUAAGUGGGAGAAGGACAGUUUUUAAAAAUAUCAAAGGCGAAGUUGAAAGAGCUGUGAGUGUAACCAUCACUGAAACUUGAGGAUUCUCAGAAAAGGAAUCACUAGGUCAACAUCAUCACUCCAUUCAGCUGGCUCUAUGUUCGAAGUGGUAAGUAGAUCUUAACCAUUGUUCACGGUGUGUCCAGCCCCAUUAAACACUGACUUAAAUGUCCUGGGUCUGAACAGAGAUGGAGGAGGAGGAGGAGACGUUCAAGAUCAGGGGGCUGUAAACCAUUCCCGUAAAGAGCCAGACAGUAAGUACUUUAGGCUUUGUGCUCCAUGUAUAUCACUGUCGUAUAUUCUUUGAUUCGUGGAAGGAAGAAUUGGCUGUUUACACAAACCCUUUAAAAUUGUAAAAGCCAAUCUUUGCUUGAAAGCCGCAAGAAAUCUUUUCACUGGAAAUCUAAAAAGUGUCAGUAAACCAAAUAGAAAAAAAGAAGAAAAAAA
rnacentral:lncRNA from 1 species